rnacentral:lncRNA from 1 species
CCUGUUUGCACGUUCAGCCAUCCUUGCAUGGAAAUGAUCACCUGGAUUUCCCUUGAGUAGUCUAACACCUGCUGCCGAGCAGUUUGGUUAAAUUUGAAAAUUCUAGCUAAUUAUGUAUGUUUAUUAAUGAACGAUUUGAUCGGAAAGCCGAACCUCUUAACUGAGACAACCUCUCAGUUUGAGCCUUGAUACUGUAAAUUGUCCUUCAAUUUGAUUUGGUACCAGCUCUCAUUUUCAUCAUUGAUACUGAAUUUUCAGAUUUGUCACUACCCCUUCCUGUUUUUUUCAUCCUCUCCAACUCCUCUUCUCCUCAAAUAGCCCUCCUCUUUGUGUUUGGUAUUCUCCCUCCUCCUCCUCCUCCUCCUCUCUCUUUUUUCUCUCUCUAUUUCUCUUUGUUUCUGUUGUUUUUUUUCCUCCUCUGGAUCUCCCUCUGUGUCCACCCACACUAACCUAACAUGCUCUCUGCCCCCGGCUCCCUCUCUCUGUCUCCAUAUAUACAGAAACAGCUCCUCUCUUUUCAGCACACACUCUAACAUUUACUGUAUGCCGCAGUGCUCUCCAGCCUGGGUAUGAUUCAUGCGCACAUACACACACACACACACACACACACACACACACACACACACACACACACACACAAAAACACAAUCUUAUGAAAAGAGUGCAGGAAUUAGUGUCAGAGAAAGCAACAGGAUUUAAAUCCAGCAGAGACGUGCAGCACAUGAGACGAAAUGUGCCACAGUCCGCUAAAGGUGCAGUUCAACAUUUUAAGGUAAAGCUACGUCUUAUAUUAUCAAACAUGUCAGUUAUAUCACUGUGUAUACAAGUGUUUGUUGAAUGAAAUUUUCUCCAAUAAAAACAUCGUCUAGAUGGUGAUUUUCAAGGUUCAUUCACGUUACUGUGAUGUACUCUGUUUUCUCUAUUUCUAUUCUACCAACAGGUAAACUGUAUGGCUCCCUCUUACAUGUUUUCUCCACUAAAUGGGCACUGCAUCAGAUUUUCUCCGCAACACAGGAACUCAGAUGGAAGUGUAAGAUGUUUUCUCCCCAAAAGAGCCUUCUGACAUUUUCUCAUGUUUUUCUCUAUAGCCGGGUUUCUUGAGUACAAACAAUACUAGGUGCGCACGAAAAAGCCUGAUUCGGAGUGAACUGAUAUCAAUGAAGAUGCCGUAUUGUUUGCAAGUUCUCCCUGACAAAAUUGCAAUAAAAUGUCACUUCAUUGAAAAAUCGUUUUGUCUUUCAUUGCAUCAAAAUCAGAAAAACACUGACAUGUCCAUGAGUUUCACUCAAUUUACCAGGUUGUGACGUUGUUUUAGAUGUUUCUAAUAUCAGGAGUAGGUUCAUAAUGUUUGCCGGUUGUUUCUAUUGCCGAUUCGUGCAGUUUACGCCACAACAGCUCCUUGUCAUUUUCUUUCUUGCAUACCUGCGAUGACGCUGCACAGAAACCCGUCUGUUGAAAGACAUAUUCAAUUUUUUUUCCAAAGUUUUCUUUGCUGUAAAACAACCCCGAAGUGUGAUAUAUUCCAUUCACUAAACGGGCCUCGUACCAGGUUUUCUUCACUACAGGGGAACCACAAAAAAAGGUUGAAUGAUAUUUUCUCAGCUGGAAAAAAUGCCCCAGAAACCAGGGCUGAAACGAUUCCUUGAGUACCUCGCUUACAAAAAAAGGAUUAAGGAAUCUUCUCUGCUUCGAGUACUUAUUUAUAAGCUCAAAUCGUCACUGUUUUCACACAGACUAUUUUCAAGGUGACACAUUAUGCUUACGACACCACGGUAGAAGGAGGAGUAAGCGCAGUUUUGGUUUUGCGGAGUGGAAAAAAUAAUUGAUGAUAGGGUCUUUUCCUCUGCAGAGCUCCAGUAGC